rnacentral:rRNA from 1 species
GAUGAACGCUGGCGGCGUGCCUAAUACAUGCAAGUCGAGCGAACAGACGAGGAGCUUGCUCCUUUGACGUUAGCGGCGGACGGGUGAGUAACACGUGGAUAACCUACCUAUAAGACUGGGAUAACUUCGGGAAACCGGAGCUAAUACCGGAUAACAUGUUGAACCGCAUGGUUCACCAGUGAAAGACGGUCUUGCUGUCACUUAUAGAUGGAUCCGCGCCGCAUUAGCUAGUUGGUAAGGUAACGGCUUACCAAGGCAACGAUGCGUAGCCGACCUGAGAGGGUGAUCGGCCACACUGGAACUGAGACACGGUCCAGACUCCUACGGGAGGCAGCAGUAGGGAAUCUUCCGCAAUGGGCGAAAGCCUGACGGAGCAACGCCGCGUGAGUGAAGAAGGUCUUCGGAUCGUAAAACUCUGUUAUUAGGGAAGAACAAAUGUGUAAGUAACUAUGCACGUCUUGACGGUACCUAAUCAGAAAGCCACGGCUAACUACGUG